CACCAGUGCAAAGCUCCGGGUGCAGGCGUGCAGUGCAACGUGAGCCGGCUGUAGGCGCGAUGCAUCGGUACGUGCAGAGCACGCUGACGGGCGGUGUCAACUGAAACCCUGUGGACAGGUUUCUUAUUUUGUGGCUACCUGUGAGCAAACAAAUCAAGAUGUACCAUGGAGAGCAUUCUAACUGGCUGCAUCACAGUCUGGUGUGGAGGCGCCGCUGCACAGGAUUGGAAAAAGCUGCAGAAAGUUGUAAACUCAGCCAGCUCCAUC